AACAAGAAAUUCUAACAGUAGAUGAGAUCAGAGUUAACGCUGUACCCUAUGCGGGCCGUCGCUGUCGGGUUCGUGAAGAAGGCGGUGACAGAGAGCAGGGCGAGAGGGCGGCAGGUGUCGCGGCUGGAGGAGUCCAUCAAGAGUUUGGAGGAGGAGAAGCGCAAGAUCGAAGUUUUCAAGCGCGAGCUCCCUCUCUGCAUGCGUCUCGUCUACGAGGUGAUGGGGGAGUUGAAGAGGGAGAUCGAUCGGUUCCGCGCCGAGGGUUUCGGGCGUGUGUUCCAGGAAUUCACGCCGAUUAAGGGCAAAAUCAACGAGAGCAGCUCGGAUUUCAGAGAUAAGAAGAACUGGACGAGCUCGUUCCAACUCUGGAUCUGUGAGGAAAGUAAAGAUACCAAAAACAUGACAAGAUGAACCUUAAAGAGAAAUCAGUAUGUUAUUCUCGGAACGGCGGACAUGUGUCCCUGCCAGUAUUGGAACUAUACAGCUCCAAGGCGGAAGAUGAGACUGCCGCUGUGUUGUCUGACCUCUCUCUGUGCUCUACCGUGAUCACUCAUGGCUUUGUGACUCCGGCCAUCAAUAACCAUCCAGUUAGUUGCCAUAAGUGUACUUAAGAAUCCCCGGAAGCAUCUCAGGUGGUGGCGCCUGGCAAACACUGUGGCUUGCAUUAGCAACAGGCUGCAGAUGUGGAGGUUCUGGUCUCAGGAUCUGCAUCAGCGGUUUGUGCUCGCGAUUGCUCCGUGUUGCUCAUGGUAAGACCUCAGUUGAAUCAAUUGCUAGGAGGCUGAUGGAUAAUUUCUGCAGGAUGAUGUUUAGUCCCACAUCUAAAAUUUUCACAAUCCUCUAUUAGUAUAAAAUAUAACUAUACGACUUAUAAAAUAUAACCCAUGGAAUGAAGUGAUAGGAUCUUCAGGUCCAGGAAAAUCCCCGGGUCAUCCACCGCAGUGAUGCGGCCGUGUAAUUAUGGUCCAUUAAAUCAGAUUGUAUUCCAUCCCUGGGAAGGCUGAGACAUGUGUGGAGCCUUUCGAUCAGAUUAUGGAUUCAUGAUCAUUCCCUAUAGUAAUUCACUUGGCCUUACAAAUAGGUUAACAGAACGGGGUUUAUAUUCCAUGGGUAUUUUUUAAAAAUAUAUUACUCAAUUUUUGGUGUGGAUGUCUUGAAAUUACAAUUAAUUUUUUUAAUGAUAAAUUAAUCAAAUGAAUAUAUCAUAAUUCAAAUACUAAUUGUGUGAUAACAAAUAAGUUUUUUUUUUACUCAAAGACGUAAUUAGCUAUAUACGAAGGAGAUGGGAAGUUCUUAUUAUUGCUGAGUAGAGUUGUUAGGUAGGUCAGGAUGGUCCAUUAAAAAUUCAUCAUCUUUGUAGG